GAUGAAGAACGCAGCGAAAUGCGAUAAGUAAUGCGAAUUGCAGAAUUUCCGUGAGUCAUCGAAUCUUUGAACGCACAUUGCGCCCCAUGGUAUUCCGUGGGGCAUGCCUGUUCGAGCGUCAUUUACCCCCUCAAGCUCCGCUUGGUGUUGGGCGUCUGUCCCGCUUCGCGCGCGGACUCGCCCCAAAGGUAUUGGCAGCGGUCGUGCCAGCUUCUCGCGCAGCACAUUGCGCUUCUCGAGGCACCGGUGGGCCCGCGUCCUUCAAGCUCACCCCCCCAGUUUGACCUCGGAUCAGGUAGGGAUACCCGCUGAACUUAAGCAUAUCAAUAAGCGGAGGA
rnacentral:misc_RNA from 1 species